CUAAAGUGCAUGGACGCUUGUACAGAUGUUCAGUCACAGGUGCAAUUCUGAAGGACACUCUCCACUAACAUACAUGGACUUGAGCGACGUUCAAGAAAAUUCUGUCACGCCAACUUCUGCAGCAUGACUGUUCUCCCGCACUGAAAGACCUCCCUUGUAUGUCAACGUCAAAAAUCGCAGACCAAUCCAAGAUGUGCCGCCUCCACCUACUUGGCAACCUUAUUCUCACCGUAUGAUUCAUUCCAGUGUUUCAUGGCCUUGCAUUGAACGUGUUGUACUUUAACGCUGGUAAAAUUAAGACAUUCAUCAUGCAGUGAAUGAAGCUGGGCAUCCGGACCCUGAAUUUCCCAUCGGGAGUCCCACACAGUCCGCCAAGUAUACAAGGAUGCAAUGGCAGACGAGGGAAAUGAAUGAGCGUCUACUUCAGCCAGUGUGGCAGUCAGCCCAGCUGUCUCAGUCCCAGCGAAUAAGGCA